rnacentral:rRNA from 1 species
GAUGAACGCUGGCGGCGUGCCUAAUACAUGCAAGUCGAGCGAACGGACGAGAAGCUUGCUUUUCUGAUGUUAGCGGCGGACGGGUGAGUAACACGUGGAUAACCUACCUAUAAGACUGGGAUAACUUCGGGAAACCGGAGCUAAUACCGGAUAAUAUUUUGAACCGCAUGGUUCAAAAGUGAAAGACGGUCUUGCUGUCACUUAUAGAUGGAUCCGCGCUGCAUUAGCUAGUUGGUAAGGUAACGGCUUACCAAGGCAACGAUGCAUAGCCGACCUGAGAGGAUGAUCAGCCACACUGGAACUGCGACAAGGUCCAGACGCCGACGGGAGGCAGCAGUAGGGAAUCUUCCGCAAUGGGCGAAAGCCUGACGGAGCAACGCCGCGUGAGUGAUGAAGGUCUUCGGAUCGUAAAACUCUGUUAUUAGGGAAGAACAUAUGUGUAAGUAACUGUGCACAUCUUGACGGUACCUAAUCAGAAAGCCACGGCUAACUACGUG